CUGAAGCUGGAGUUACAGGCCAUUGUGAGCUGCCCAACACAGGUGAUGGGAACUGGACUUGGGUCAUCUGCAAGAGCAGCAAGUGCUCCUGACCACUGAAUCAUCUCUCCAGGACCUCUUGAUCCCAUUUUAUAGGUACCCAGUGGAAGCUGUGACCCAGAAAUGUACACUAGGAAGUCAUCACAGGUGGCCAUUUGAAUGCUGGAUUUGUUGUGGUCUCUGAAAAACCAAGAAGAGAAUUUGACUUUGAAACGCCCAUGCCUUAAGUUAUCUGCUUUGCUCUUUUUGUAAAGAUUUGUUUUCUUGCCAAAUGUAACAUUCAGUUACUAAGUGGAAAUGUAAAAGUUUACAAUUUCAUGAAAAUGCCAAAUGGUUUUAACAGGGCUGUUCCUUCCCCCAUUGGCCACCUUCUCAGUUCACCACUAGAGAGCACUGUUGGCAGUGAGAUCAGGACGCAGCAAAGAAGGAACACUGCUAAUUUCUGAAUUGUUUUUUGAGAUCUUUCAGUUUUUUUUUCUUUCAGCCAGUAAAUAAAAACGGAAAUUUAAAAACUA